GCCAGACUCCUACGGGAGGCAGCAGUGGGGGAUAUUGCACAAUGGGGGGAACCCUGAUGCAGCGACGCCGCGUGGGUGAAGAAGCGCCUCGGCGCGUAAAGCCCUGUCAGCAGGGAAGAAAAUGACGGUACCUGAAGAAGAAGCCCCGGCUAACUACGUGCCAGCAGCCGCGGUAAUACGUAGGGGGCAAGCGUUAUCCGGAUUUACUGGGUGUAAAGGGAGCGUAGACGGCAUGGCAGGUCUGAUGUGAAAACCCGGGGCUCAACCCCGGGACUGCUCUGGAAACUGCGGCGCUGGAGUACGGGAGGGGCAGGCGGAAUUCCUGGUGUAGCGGUGAAAUGCGUAGAUAUUAGGAGGAACACCAGUGGCGAAGGCGGCCUGCUGGACGAUGACUGACGCUGAGGCUCGAAAGCGUGGGGAGCAAACAGGAUUAGAUACCCCAGUA
rnacentral:rRNA from 1 species